GUCAAUGAUGAUGUAUCCAUGUUUGAGGUGUAGCGUGCUCCAAGCCCCUGUACAAGGGAGAACCUACUUGGGGUGCUACAUCUGUAUAUGAAAUUACUGGAUCUUUCUGAGGC